AGGGCGCAGGGCGGAUGCCUUGGCUCUGGGAAGCGAAGAAGGACGUGGCUAGCUGCGAUAAGCCUCGGGGAAGAGCAAACAUCUUUUGAUCCGGGGAUUUCCGAAUGGGGGAACCCGCAUGGCUGUUGAGGCCAUGCACUGUUGAGUGAAUACAUAGCUCAUCAGGGCGAACUUGGGGAACUGAAACAUCUCAGUACCCAAAGGAAUAGAAAUCAACCGAGAUUCUGCUAGUAGCGGCGAGCGAACGCGGAAGAGCCCAAACCACCGGGUACGCCCGGUGGGGUUGUAGGGCCGCCAACAAAGGAUAAUUGGAGGAUUAGCUGAAGUGUCUGGGAAGGCACGGCAUAGAGGGUUAGACCCCCGUAAGCGAAAGUCUGAAGAUGUCCGAGGCGGUACCUGAGUAGGACGGGACACGAGAAAUCCUGUUUGAAUCUGGGGGGACCACCCUCCAAGGCUAAAUAUUACCCAGAGACCGAUAGUGUACCAGUACCGUGAGGGAAAGGUGAAAAGAACCUCGAACAGAGGAGUGAAAUAGUUCCUGAAACCCUGCGUCUACAAGCAGUGGAAGCAAUGCUGAUCUUCGGAUCACGUGCGACCGCGUGCCUUUUGCAUAAUGAGCCAACGAGUUGUCUGUCGGUGGCAGGUUAAGUUUAUAACGAAGCCACAGCGAAAGCGAGUUCGAAAUGAGCGUUCAGUCGCCGGCAACAGACCCGAAACCGAGUGAUCUACCCCUGUCCAGGUUGAAGCCUGGGUAAGACCAGGUGGAAGACCGAACCGUUGAGCCUUAAAACGUUCUCGGAUGAGGUGGGGGUAGGAGUGAAAGGCUAAUCAAACUCGGAGAUAGCUGGUUCUCCCCGAAAUAUAUUUAGGUAUAGCCUCGUGACAGACCGCCGGAGGUAGAGCACUGGAUGGACUAGGGCCCUCACCAGGGUACCAAACCCAACCAAACUGCGAAUACCGGCGAGUUGUUUCACGGGAGUCAGACAGCGGGAGCUAACUUUCGUUGUCGAAAGGGAAACAACCCAGACCAUCAGCUAAGGCCCCCAAGUCAUGACUAAGUGGGAAAGGAAGUGGGAGCGCCCAGACAACCAGGAGGUUGGCUUAGAAGCAGCCACCCUUUAAAGAAAGCGUAACAGCUCACUGGUCGAGCGAGCCUGCACCGAAAAUUUAACGGGGCUCAAGUCAUGCGCCGAAGCUAUGGGAUUUAUAUUUAUAUAAAUCGGUAGGGGAGCGUUCCCUGUGCAGUGAAGCUGAAUCGAAAGGGUCAGUGGAGCGCAGGGAAGUGAGGAUGUUGGCAUAAGUAACGAAAAUGUGGGCGAGAAACCCACACGCCGAAAGCCCAAGGUUUCCCGGGCCAUGUUAUUCAGCCCGGGGUUAGUCGGCACCUAAGACGAGGCCGAAAGGCGUAGUCGACGGAAAACCGGUUCAUAUUCCGGUACUUGCAUGUGCGCGUGAUGGAGGGACGCAGGAGGAUAGGCCGGCCUGGUGAUGGAUAUCCAGGUUCAAGGCCGUAGGCGGAAGUCCCAGGUAAAUCCGGGACUUUAUCUAACGCCGAGAGUCGAUGACGAGAGGCUUUGCUUCGCAAAGCGGUCGAUUCCACACUGCCAAGAAAAGCUUCUAAGCAUAGCAGAUGCAAACCGUACCCCAAACCGACACAGGUGGGCGGGUAGAGAAUACCAAGGCGCUUGAGGGAAAUCAUGUUAAGGAACUCUGCAAAAUAACUCCGUAACUUCGGAAGAAGGAGUGCCUGCAGCGGUGAAGGGACUUGCUCCUGGAGCUUAAGCGGGCCGCAGUGACCAGGCCCAGCCGACUGUUUAGCAAAAACACAGCACUCUGCUAAAUCGCAAGAUGAUGUAUAGGGUGUGACGCCUGCCCGGUGCCGGAAGGUUAAUGGGAGGGGUUAGGUCUUCGGACCAAAGCUCCGAACUGAAGCCCCGGUAAACGGCGGCCGUAACUAUAACGGUCCUAAGGUAGCGAAAUUCCUUGUCGGGUAAGUUCCGACCUGCACGAAUGGCGUAACGAUCUGGGCGCUGUCUCAAUGUGAUUCUCAGUGAAAUUGAAAUGGCGGUGAAGAUACCGUCAACCCGCGGCAAGACGGAAAGACCCCGUGCACCUUUACUGCAGCUUGGCAGUGAACUUGGGAAAGAUUUGUGUAGGAUAGGUGGGAGGCUUUGAAGGGGGGG
rnacentral:rRNA from 1 species